AAUUAAACACAUUUAUUAAAAUUAUUACAUGACCUAUUUAAAAAAAAUAACAACCAUUGCAAUUUUUGAAACAAUCGAAAUACGAAAUCACCAUUUUUUCGAUUGGUUAGCUGUAAAUUACCAAAACAGUAAAUUUCAAAGAGAAAAUGUACAGCGUGUUAUUUUUUUGAUCCGACAGAUGACACUAGGGUCGGCCAAUGUGGAUGCUUAAAAGGCUUAUGAAGGUAAGAGGGCAUUGUUGGCAAAUGAGCUUUCACUGUGCAGUAAACAACAUGGCUGGUUUACUUUCGUGUGCGGGUUAUGUCGUUCCCGUCAUUUAGUCGACAAGUUUUACAAUCUUUGACCAGUGAUAACUAUUUCUGAAAUUCGAUGAUAAAUUUUAUAAUUAAAAAAAAAAAAAAAACAAAAAUCGAGAUACACACAUGGAAAGGAAAUCUAAAAAUAAAUACAGAUAUAGGAGUAUGAUAUUUUAAAAAGCUACAUAAAAAAAAAAAAGUCCAUUGUGUUUAAGCACUCCUGGGUUGUGGUAAACCAUAUGAAAGGAAUACGUCAUCUAUUAGCUUGGAAAUUCUUAAUCGGAUAUUUGCAAUGACCUGUACCAUUUAAAAGGUUAACUUUUACAAUACAACUCUCAUGAAGCCAAUACCGUAUCGUCUACAAUAACGAAACACGCAAUUUGUAUAUAGAUAGAUCAGUUACAUGAACACAAUUACAAAUAUUUGUGUGCACGUGUAUAUGUUCCAAUAGUUUUUCUUCGAACGUGUACAAAUCGCAGGAUAUCUCGAUAUAUCAUUCCAUUAAAAAAAAUAUUACAGUUGAUUAAUAGAUAUCAAUAUAAUAUAUGUGACUAAUUUCUUAA